GCUGCAGGUGGAGCUGCCUGCCAGUCCUGCGCCAUGCGCUCGCACUCCUCAGCCCUUGGGCGGUCGAUGGGACUGGGCACUGGAGCAGGGGGCAGCGCUCGUCGGGGAGGCUUGGGCCGCACAGGAGCCCAUGGAGGGGGUGGGAGGCUCAGGCAUGGCGGGCUGCAGGUCUCGAGCCCUGCCCCGUGGGAAGGCAGCUAAGGCCCGGCGAGAAAUCAAGCGCAGCGCGCCGGUGGGCCAGCACUGCUGGGGGACCCAGUACACCCUCCGCAGCCGCUGGCCCGGGUGCUAAGCCCCUCAGUGCCCGGGGCCGGCAGGGCCGUCCGGCUGCUCCGAGUGCGGGGCCCUCCAAGCCCACGCCCACCCGGAACUCCAGCUGGCCCGCAAGUGCUGCACGCAGCCCCGGUUCCCGCUCGCGCCUCUCCCUCGCGCAAGCUGAGGGAGCCGGCUCUGGCCUUGGCCAGCCCAGAAAGGGGCUCCCAUAGUGCAGGGGUGGGCUGAAGGGCUCCUCAAGUGCCGCCAAAGUGAGAGCCCAGGCAGAGGAGGCGCCGAGAGCGAGCGAGGGCUGUGAGGACUGCCAGCACGCUGUCACCUCUCAGCGUGACCUACGUUGGACAAUUCAGUUGUCCCACUCAGAGCUAUUUCCUCCUCUUUAAAAACGGAGAAGAUCUGCUUGGGUCUGGCACUCCUCAUUCCAGUUCACUCUCCAAACUCCAUACAGAACUAGGAGCACGCAUCCCUAUUCCCCUUGCCCAGGGAUGCCCCUGCCCCUCCUCCUGGACUAAAUUAGUAAAGAGCACCACCAAACCUCAUCACCCAGACUACAGAGCUGGGACAGGCAGUAUAGACUCUCCUGCUACAUCCUGAGAGUCUUCAGAGAUGCCUCCCCACCCCCUACCUCUCUGCCUUCUGUCUAAGCAAAGCCACCCCCACAUCGCUGCCGGAAUGGCUAUGCAAAACACAGUUCAGACCAGGCCACUCCCUGCUUCAAACCCUUCAGUGCCUCAGCCUUCAGAAUGAAGGCCAAGGUUCGUACCCAGGCAGAGAGAACCUUGACCAUCGACCCCUGCGGAUGUCUCCAACUUCACACCCCAUCCCUUCCCACCUUAGACUGGUCCCCAUAAUACAAAACGGCUUGUGAUUCCACACACUAUCCCUCACUUACAGGGUCCCCUUUGCAGAGGACGUCCUCUUCCCUCCCCACCCCACCUCAUGCGAUAGACACACUGUCCUGUGAUUAACUCCUGCUCCUGUGCCUCCUCCCCACCCCACCUCUGCUUCAAAGCCUCCUGUGCUUGCUUCGAUUGCUUCCUCUAACCACAUUAUAUUAAAACGUAAUUCAGUGUUCUUGUUGUUCCAAUUACUUAUCUGUCUUCCCUUCUAAAUUGUGAAGUCCUCAAGUGCUGUCUUAUUCAUAUAACCCAGAUGAUUCCUGGGAUCUCCCAGCCCACUUAGUUCUAGUUUAGAUGAGUUUGCAGUAGACACGGCCAAUUGCCCACCCAACAGCCAUUUUCCAAGUCAUCUUUAAUGAUAGAAUCUUGAUUUUGUUCAGGAAGACAAUAAGCCCAGCUAAAAUAGUCUCCUUCCCAGAUUCUCUUACCACGAAGUGUGGCCACGUGACCCAUAUGUGGCAGAAGUCACUGGAUGGCACUCCCAGAAAAGCUUUUCAAAAGAGGAUACAUUCAUUCAUCUGUCCUUUUUUCCCCUCCCUGUUCUUCUUUCCUGGAACAUGGGCGAGAUGUCUGGAGGAGGAGCAGCCAUCAUGCAACCAAGAGGACAGAAGCUGCACACAAAGUAAAGGGGCUCCAUGAAGAUGGGUCAUAUGAAUGGGCCAGAAGGGAAUCUUGAGACACCCCCUCGCCUGCCAUGAGCCAUCGCCAAUACUCACCUAUUUUAAGAGGUGCCUUGGAUUCAGAUUCAAAGGAAUAAUUCUCCUGUAGAAAUGGCAGACCAAGUGAAAGGAAAAGUUGCUGUGAAGGCCAGG
rnacentral:lncRNA from 10 species